UUCACAUUUGUUAUAUGCGCCGUUUUCAAGGUUAACUUUUAAUGAGUUAAUCGGCAAAGGAAGACCUACACAAUAACUUAAAUUUGUGCAGAAAACCAAAGGUUUUGAGAGGAAUUUCAAUUCCAGCAAUUAUAUGCGGUACCGGUGGAUGACAGGAUCAACCAAAGAGCAAAAGCUUUACUGUUGGGAAUUGGGAUUGUUUGCUGUUUGGCGCGGAGAGUGGGACCUGGGCCAAAGAUGGAUUUUCUGAUUUAGGAAGUUUAUCCAAUUUCAAGUAAAGAUCAUCAAAGGCUGAAGUAUAGGAUGAAGACCACAACCACAAGACAUAGAGUGAGCUCCCAGCGGGAGCUGUCAUAAAAAAGAUAAAUUCAAUAUAUGUAAAAGCUCAUGAUGACAUCGGGAAGGCUAUAUAUCUCAAGCUAAAUUGUUUUCCCUGGCCGGGGGGUCCGGAGCGAGGGGUGUUUU